AAAAGAGAGUCAGUGGCAGUCGAUACAGGUAUGCCUGAAAUCUUGACUCAGUCCACUUGCCAAUGCUGAGCUGGUGAGCAAAGUUUCAGGUAUAUCGGCAAGGUACUGCAAUCUCAUCUGGACAU
rnacentral:precursor_RNA from 10 species